UCACUGGUUCCAGUAAUGUAAGGUGUUGGCAGGGCCAGCAGGUUCAUCAUUACUUUUAGACUGGUGGUGGUCUGAAAUAAAUGAGAUACAGAAUACAUUGAGUUUAAAAUAAGGCGUAUUAAGGGGCACUGCAUGCUUUUCACCACAGGGAGGCGCUGUUCACCAAACCAUCACUAGACGGUGCAAAGCACAUACAGAAGAUGUUAAAAGGACAAUCAUCGGCAGUCUCCUGUAGGUGGCGAUCUCCAUCUCCAGGUUCUGUUUGAUGCGCAGCAGCUGCUCGUAGUCGGUCUUGUUGCGCUGCAUGUCCAGACGCAGCUGAGACAGCUCGUCCUCCAGCUGAGUCAGCGUGGCCUGAAGACGCUCCAUCUCCACUGAGUACUUGUGGCUCGUCUCUCCCAGGUUUCCCUCCAACACACCCACCUGUGAACAGAACAUGAACCAUCAUCAGUGAUCAGUAGGUCGAGAAAUUCAGUAGGUGCCAUCAAAUCACCUUGAAAGAAAUUCUCUGCAAAGUGAGUUCUUAUAGACAAACACUGACCUCCUGCCCGAUGGCAUGUGCCUGGGCCAUCAUCCCGUCGAUGUCGUGCCCUUUUGGAGCCUUCUCCAGCAUCAGCUGCUUGAUCUUCACCUCCAGCUCGGCGUUGGACCUCUCCAGGGAACGCACCUUGUCCAGGUAGUUGGCCAGCCGGUCGUUCAGGCCCUGCAUGGCCUCUUUGUCGCUGGCGGCGAUGCCGAGGCCGUUGAACGAUAAACUGGAGCCCAGCAUGUUGAGGCCGUUGCCCAUCGAGACGGAGCGGGACAGGGACAGCGUGCCGAUGGAGAUGGGGGACUUGGAGCGGAUGCUGCGUCCGCUGUCCCUCACAGACAUGCUGGAGAAGGACGGCUGACGCACCGAGUAGCUGCGCAUGGAGACAGUGGAGGCCAUGGUGUCCACUGCAGGAGA